UGCACCGCCUUGCCCUGGGGAGGCGACCCCGAGUCCCCACGCUGGACACUGGUAAAGGGAGCAUUGCCAGGCCGGACUGGCCCUGUCUGGUUUCUGUAGCGGGACACAAAGGGUGUGUUUGUCCAAGGGUACAUGAAGAGAAGGGCAUCUUCCUUUGCCACCUGAGUAUUGGGGAACAAGGAAGCACGACCUGCCUCUGGCUUCCUGCACAGUUGGAAUCCGGAGGAUCUUCAAGGUGGUCUGGCCAGGGAUACCACGUCUGGGCUGAGAAUUGCUGCGCAUAGGUUUGGGGGAAGAAGCAAGGCUGAACUGCUACCUUGGCCAAGAAAAGCAAGCUUCUCACUAUAGCUCUCCUGAUUGGGGAGUGUUCCUAAGAGAAUCAGCCUCUGCCAGGAGAUGGGGGUGGCUUAUUUUGAAGACACCAUCCUCACAUGUGUAUCCCUGCAUAUCCAGGCCCCCCAGCUAAGUGUUAGUUCCUUGCUCAGGGAACCUGUGAUUGGGAUUCUCUGGGGGGAAAUCUUCCAAACGAAUCAAUUAACACCACCAGUAGAGUUCAAUACCACUGCACAGAGACCCAGCUCUGUAUCAGUGCAUGAAUGAAUGACUGGUGCUCAUGUCAUUUGCAAAUAAUCAUCAUUGUAACAAAGCGGAAAACUUCCCUUACCCAUUUAGCCUGUGUGGCAUGUCAGCAGAGAGUUUCAAUAACCCUCAUGGACCCUCCAAAAUAUUUGCACAUAUAUGUGAAGUGUAAGAUGCAGAUAUUUUAAUAUGGGAGUAUCUAUUUGGGCACAAGGUCACCUCUUACACUCAUUAAACCAAUCUGAACGAGGUCUGAUAACUCUUAAGGGAAAUCAGCACUAGAAAUGCUUUCGACUUUUUGGAGACACGGAUGGAAUAUAUCAGCAGGUUUCACUCAGCGUGAGACAGCACUGAAAACUCCAGAAAGGACAUAGCUCUGUCCCACCCCACCCGCUCAGUCUUUCUUCACACAUCUAGGGCUUGUGGUGGGUGUGAAUUUAAUGUAAGAGAUGAAAAAAAAAGAGCUUUACAGAAAAAGAAUAUGUUUCUUUUGACCACAUCUUAUCUGAGUCAAUUUUCUGCUGAUUCCUCAUACCCAGUGGGAAUUAAAAAAAAAAAAGAAUCCAUAAACGCCAUGUUGUG